rnacentral:rRNA from 1 species
UACGGGGGGAGCAAGCGUUGUUCGGAUUUACUGGGCGUAAAGGGCGCGUAGGCGGCCAGCGCAAGUCAGUUGUGAAAUCUCCGGGCUUAACUCGGAACGGUCAACUGAUACUGCGCGGCUAGAGUGCAGAAGGGGCAACUGGAAUUCUCGGUGUAGCGGUGAAAUGCGUAGAUAUCGUGAGGAAGACCAGUGGCGAAGGCGGAUCUCUGGACAGCUCCUGACGCUGAGGCGCGAAGGCUAGGGGAGCAAACGGG